UGGGGAAUAUUGCACAAUGGGGGAAACCCUGAUGCAGCGACGCCGCGUGAGUGAAGAAGCAUUUCGGUAUGUAAAGCUCUAUCAGCAGGGAAGAAAAUGACGGUACCUGACUAAGAAGCCCCGGCUAACUACGUGCCAGCAGCCGCGGUAAUACGUAGGGGGCAAGCGUUAUCCGGAAUUACUGGGCGUAAAGGGUGAGUAGGCGGUUUAUUAAGUUGGAUGUGAAAUACCCGGGCUUAACUUGGGGGGUGCAUUCAAAACUGGUAGACUAGAGUAUCGGAGAGGGAAGCGGAAUUCCUGGUGUAGCGGUGAAAUGCGUAGAUAUCAGGAGGAACACCGGUGGCGAAGGCGGCUUUCUGGACGACAACUGACGCUGAGGCACGAAAGCGUGGGGAGCAAACAGGAUUAGAUACCCUGGUAGU
rnacentral:rRNA from 1 species